rnacentral:rRNA from 1 species
UACGUAGGGGGCUAGCGUUGUCCGGAUUUAUUGGGCGUAAAGGGCUCGUAGGCGGCCAACUAAGUCGGACGUGAAAUCCCUCGGCUCAACCGGGGAACUGCGUCCGAUACUGGAUGGCUUGAGUUCGGGAGAGGGAUGCGGAAUUCCAGGUGUAGCGGUGAAAUGCGUAGAUAUCUGGAGGAACACCGGUGGCGAAGGCGGCAUCCUGGACCGACACUGACGCUGAGGAGCGAAAGCCAGGGGAGCAAACGGG